UGGUCUGUAACCAGCCAAACCCGGCUGGAAGCCGACCGCGUCUGCUGUGGGACCAGGUCCCGCCGAGAGGCCAGAGGGUGCAGGGUCAGCCGGACCCCUUAGGAAGCGUCCACAGAGCCAGGUCUCAGGAAAUGAUCACAAAUCUGGUUACCAUCCACCAUGUAAAAUCACGAUUUUUUCUUGUGAUGGGAACUUUCAAGAUUGACUCCCUUAGCAACUUCACAUAUGCAGCUCAUCAUGCUAUCAAUGACAUCCUGAUGAUGAUCAAUGACAUCCUGAUGAUUUAUUCUGUGGAGACACAGCUAGCGGCAGCUAUGUGUAAGCCAGGAAGAAAGCCCUCACUGGGAACCCAGUAGGCCAAGCAUCUUGAUUCCAGCCUCCAGAACUAUGAGAAAUAAAUGUCUGUUGUUUAAGCCA